UGGGGAAUCUUGCGCAAUGGGCGAAAGCCUGACGCAGCGACACCGCGUGAGUGAGGAAGGUCUUCGGAUUGUAAAGCUCUGUCGGCAGGAAAGAUGGAACAGGUGGUUAAUACCCAUUUGUUUUGACGGUACCUGCAAAGGAAGCACCGGCUAACUCUGUGCCAGCAGCCGCGGUAAUACAGAGGGUGCAAGCGUUGUUCGGAUUUACUGGGCGUAAAGGGCGCGUAGGCGGCAAUUCAAGUCAUCUGUGAAAUCUCCGGGCUUAACUCGGAACGGUCAGAUGAUACUGCUUUGCUAGAGUGCAGAAGGGGCAAUCGGAAUUCUUGGUGUAGCGGUGAAAUGCGUAGAUAUCAAGAGGAACACCUGAGGUGAAGACGGGUUGCUGGGCUGACACUGACGCUGAGGCGCGAAAGCCAGGGGAGCAAACGGGAUUAGAUACCCCCGUAGUCCCUGAGCGGGCUGGCAAGGCGCAU
rnacentral:rRNA from 1 species